UCCUUAACCCACUGAGUGAUCAAACCCUUGUCCUCAUGGAUACUAUAAGGCUCAUUACCGCUGAGCCACAAUGGGAACUCCUGGAGGGAUUUUAUCUCUUUUCUUCAGUGCAGUUUUCCCAGGGCCUAGAGAUGUACUCAUUUACUUUCAGUUACUCUUUGUUGACUGACUGAAUGAAAAACCCACCUCAUGCCUCCCCAGUGGUUUAUGUUUUCUGGCAGGUGAAACUCACUCUGGGUAUUUUGUUAUAGAAAGUCUGUUGAGAAGAGAAGCAGUGUAUAGAGGAUAAUUAUCUUCCAGUGUAUGUAUGCUCUACUGACCUAGUUCUCCAUUAGAGUAUUAAUAAUAAAUGCUUAAGGCUCUACGAAAAUAAAUAAUCUUAUUCCUUUUUGCUUCUUGUUAGCCAAAGCCUUGAAAUUCGUAAUUGCACGAUGAUGGCUCUAGAAUGCAUCCUGACAGAUGGAUACUUCUUGAGCUGUCAUAAGGCGAUGAAGAAAAUACAGUUAAAUGUGUCGGUGUAAUCGGCAGUGAACAAUCAUCAUUCUGAACCAUGUUAUAAACUGAGGCUCAUAGUCUCUUUAGCGUUACAGUGUUUCCUGGCAGCGUGGGAUGCAAAGUGUGUGCAGAAACACAUUCACACUGUGGUUUUACACGGGAGCUCAGGUUGCCUCUCAUGAAUAUGCAUGAUGGGGCUGGAUCUCACUCUUGCCACUUGAGUGUUAAGUUGUACUUAACCCCCACAAACCCAUUUCCUGCCUAUCAUUUGAAGAUGUUCCUUGAGGAGAGUUGAAAAAACUCCAUACUCCUACUGUUAUAAAUGUCCUAACAUUCAGAAUAUGCACCAUGGACUCCAGGAUGAGAACUUUUCAAGGCAUUGUAUGUAUCUUUGGACACUCUUUACAGAAUCCUGGCCAGGCAGUCAUCUUGGUUCUGCUGGUCCACUUCCUAUGUUGGAGGUUUGCUACCACUGGAGAGAGAGCCAUUUUUCUUUCCUCCAAGGAGUAAUUCUUAGACAUCUCUUUCAUGCAUUGAUCUGAAAUAUGACUCCCUGUGGAUUAAAAUAUCAUCAAAUGUGUAACUAUUUGAUGAAUGAGUCAUAUUACAGCAUGUUCUGGACAACAAGUUCCCCAUAAGAUUCUGGACUACUGUAGGACCGAGCCUGGAACUGAAGAAUUUGUCUUUGGUUGCUCAGUGCCUAACAGGACCUGAGGUACAGAGGACCCUUGAUAAAUCUUGAACGACUGACUAAAUGAAUUAAGUGAAUUUGCAGCAACGCGGCAAACAAGAAGAGACCGAAUCACAUUAUUAUUUUCAAAAGCAGCAUUUAUAAAGUUUAUAACUCAGUUUGUCACUGAGCAAAUCUAGUCUGUACCUUCAGACCCCAGCGAUGCCCCUGUGUUGUCACAGCUUCAGAAAACUUGAAUUUCUAAAACACACUGAUGUCAUUUUCAGGGUACAGAUUGGACUGUCAUCCAGCAUCUGCCCCCAUUUCCAGCCACUGACAGAACUGCAAGGAGCUAGAGCAGGAGGCUGGUGGAAAACGAUAGCUGAUGAUGGGAACCACAGAGACUGACAAUCUGGGUUCUAAUCCUGGCCGUUCCAUUUGUUUGCUUUGUGACUUUGGGCAAGUUACUUGCUCUCUCUCUACCUGUAAAGUAGAUAUGAGUAAAUGUGAGCAUUUAAUGAAUUGAAGCCCCUAAAGCUCUUGGAACAGAGCCAGGCAUGUUGUAAACAUUCAGUAAGUAUUGGCUUUCAUCCUCGUUUAGAGGAAGGAGCAUAAGCUUUGAGUAAGGCAAGCCAGGCUUUUAAUGCAUACUUUAGCCCUUUUUCUUGGGUAAUCAUUUAAUUUCACUAAACUUGUUUCAUCUUGUGUAAAAUGUAGAUAAUAACAUAGUGGUGGGGGAAAUUCUAUUUAAAACUAAAGACGACUACAGCCUUCAGAUUCCAAAGACUCUAAUUUAGGAAAAUACCUUGAUGAGCCUGCUUUGGAUAUGAAGAAGGAAGCCCCAGAGAGAGAACUAAAUCACUGUGCAUGGUGAAUAAAGAAUUUUGAGCAUUCCCCAGAGCUUGAGAUGAAAGCACCAAGCCCAGGAAGGAGAGAAAUCCAGCAAAAUAGCCAAAAAUCUGGGGCCCUCUUUGGGACAAGAGUCUUCAUAUUCAAUGUUGAGCAGUUACUGGGCACCACAGUGGAGUGUCCCUUACCCUUUCACCAGAAUAUAGGUAGAUGUGUGUUAUGUAAGCAAUCAUAUGUGGGUGAUGUGUUUUGGGUACAGGAGAAGGGAACGAAAACACAAGAGAGAUGAGGAGAAGAGAUGAAGAAUUUGGCCCGGGUAGGAAAAUAGAAUGUGAGGUAGGGAAAAGAAACCUGGAGAAGUGGGAAAGAUCCCCAGAUUUAUCACCAAUGUGCGAGAUGACAAUUAAGCACUUUUAUUUUAUUCUGAUCUAAACAAACAAACCAACAAAACCCCAAAGCCCCUAGAGUCAGUUAAAGAACCUAAGGACACUGGCAUUUGUGUUACCCACUUAGUAGGAACUUUUUUCCCCCUUUUAUAGCCACACCUGCAGCAUUUGGAAGUUUCUGGGCUAGGGGGGUCGAAUGGGAGGCACGCUGUGGCCUACUCCACAGGCACAGAAACACCAGUUCUGAGCCAUACCUGUGACCUAUGCUGCAGCUUGCAGCAACAUAACCACUGAGCGAGGCCAGGACUGAACCCGCAUCCUCAUGGAGACAAUGUUGGGGCCUUAACCUGCUGAGCCACAAUGGGAACUCCCCAGCAGGACUUUUGUGACAAUUAGUGUUAAUGGAUGGAUAUAAACUCCUAUCAACCAUUCACCCUGUUAAUUCAUAUAUUAUUUAAUGAAUAUUUAUCUAAUGAAAGGAAGCUGGGCAGAGAGCAGCUGGUCUAUGUUGGGGGCAGUGGAGCAUACAGGUUCACUUAUCGUGCUUAACAUCCCUAACCUACUCCCCUCAUCUAUCCAGCCCUGGCCUCUGUCGUUCUGCACACUCCCUGAGCCUUCAGGAGUGUCAGGGCUGUGCCUCCUGGGGAGCAUAGGCAGGCUGGUGUGAUGAGAAAAGAGUUUUUCCAAGUCAUGUUCAUGCAAGAGAAUACUUCAAGACUGAAAGUUUUUAAAUUCUUUUAUUAAUCUACUCAGUUAAGAGUGACAAGCAGGGUUCCAAAAACAUGGAGUUAUUUUAUCUACGAUCCAUUUUCCAGUAAGUGACUACCCAGUUAGCUGAAGCACAAGAAUAGGUAAUGGCUUUGUUUUCCUAAGAUGUAGUCAUUCCGAUUAUUUUUAGAUGAAUGAUUCGGAGCCAGAAGUAUAACUCAUAAUUAUGUUGCUAUGAUUCUACAACCAGUUGUUUGGUGGAAUUAGUUUGACCGUGACAACUUUAAAGUCACCACAUUUUCUGAAAAAAAUCAGCAGAUAAAAACUGAAAAUAAAAGAUUCCAUGACACGAAGUGCUGUUUCCUGCUAUUAUCUCACAUCUUUCUCCUCUGAAGCUUGCCUGCUGCCUUCCCUUAGGCUCUUUCCUGGUUUCCAGCUCUUACAAGGCUCCCCCAGGUACUUAAGCCCACUGACAAACCACCGAAUGCUCCAGGAAGCAUUCCUAAAGACCCCAGCCUGAGGAGCUGCUCUCUUCCUCUUAAUUCAUGCAUUGAUUGUGGAUUGGCUACAGCCUUCCUUAGAACUCCUCAUUCUCUCCCUUGAAUUUUGGUUUAUUUUCAAAUAAAUCUCAUUAUUUCCAAAGCUAGUUUUGGUCUAUGUAAAAAUUUUACAUUACAAAAAUUAUAUAUCAAUAUUAUCAAAAAUUUGGAAGAGAGAGGAAAGAAAAAUAUUCAUAAUCUCAUUAUCUUAACACUAACUGUACUCAUCAUUUUAGGGUGUUUUUUCUUAAGCUUUUUUUCUAUGCUUAUUUUUUCACUGAUUUAAUUCCAGUGUCUGUGCAAUUUCACAGUUUGACUUUUUUGCAACUAAUGCUACAUCACCACCAUUAUGGUAAUUGCUAUAUAGUUUUCAUAAAUGUUACUUUAAAGCCUGUGUAAUGUUGACUACUAUCAACAUUUUAGAUUGUUAAUUAUAGUCCACUAUUAUAAAUGGUACUGCAGUUGACAUCUUUAUGCAUGUAGUUUUCUCAGUGUGUGUAUUAUAUGUAUACAUGCAUGUGUAUUUCAAUUUUUUUUUCCCUUAAGCUAGUAUCCCAAAAGGAAAAUUACCGAAUCAAAGAGUAUGAUUAUUUUUAAGGUUUUUGAAACAUAUUGCUAAACUGGUUUUCUAAAGAGUUGGACCAGUUUAUAUUACCAGAAACAUAUGAGAGUAUCAGUUUCUCCAGACUUUUACCAAAAUUAUUUCUUAAUUAUUAGUCUUCAUAUAAUCAAAAUAAGAUGACAUUUGUUCACGGUUUAAAUUUUUUACUAAAGCAUACAGAAAAGUAUGGAGGAAAAAAUUAGUCCAUGGCCCUGAUUUAUCGAAUUUUAAUACAUUCCCAUUGUACUAGUUUGUACUACAUUGUACUAGUUUUAUAAAAAUAAAAUAUUACAUAUAUAGUGAAGUCUUUGUGUACCCCUUCCCAGUUCUACUCUCUGUACACUUUUACAGAGACGACUGGAACUGGAUGUUUACUGUUCUUUGCAUUUCCGUAUCUUUUAAUUGUUAAAUCUUUGACUACUAACAAAGUUAAACUUUUUCCUAUGGCAUAGCUACUAUGAAAGUUCUUAGGUUCUAGAGUCAGGUAUAACUGGCUUUGAGUUCCUGCUCUGCUUCUUGCUACUCAUGUCUCCUUGAACCUCUCUGUGCCUCAGUUUCCUCAUCUAGAAAAUGGAGAUAAUAAUCAUUCCUACUAUUGUUUAUGUUGCUGUGAAGCUUAACUAUGACAGUUCAGGUAAAAUUCUUGGCCCAGGGCCCAGCACUCGAUAAAGCCUUUCACUAUUACUCUAGUUUCUCUUUUGAAUUGCCCGCUCCUUGUUCUUCUGGAAAAGAUUAGCUUACAACCUGUGACACACUUUAUCAAAUAUGAUCGUAUUUACUCUUCACGACAGCUCUGUGAGAUAGUAUUGCGGUGAUCCCAUUUGAUAAAUGAGGAAACGGAGCCUGAAUGGUCCAUAGGCUAGCAGGGAGCAGAGCUGUGUCUGAACUCGGUCUCAGGAGCAGGCAGCUCACUGCCCUUCUGUGCUGCUGCCCCUUCACCUCUGAAACUAGACAUGCUUUUUCAUGAUACGAUAUCACAUCACGAGCCCAUAAGGUAGUUUUAGCACAGUUCUGUAACACAGUCAUUACAGAUGGAUCCCAGUUUCUGUAUUUAUAAUUGUUUUCUUUUUCUAUCUUUUCUGAAUAUUCUGCAAGAAAUAUUUAUUGCUCUUAUAAAACCAGAUAUGCUUCUAAAUGCAUCAAAAACGUUGCCAGGAGUUUCCGUAGCAGUUCAGUAGAAGCGGAAACAAUCCGACUAGGAACCAUGAGGUUGCGGGUUUGAACCCUGGCCUUGCUCAGUGGGUUAAGGAUCCAGCAUUGCUGUGAGCUGUGGUGUAGGUUGAAGAUGCAGCUCGGAUCUGAUGUUGCUGUGGCUGUGGUGUAGGCUGGCAUCUGUAGCUCUGAUUUGACCCAUAGCCUGGGAACCUCCAUAUGCCAUGGGUGCGCCCCUAAAAAAGCGUUAAAAAAAAAGUUACCAGUUAUGUAAUAUGAUUAUAUUAUAUUGACAAUAUUAGAGAUUUAAGAUCUCUAGGCUUGGUAUUGCCUUUUUUCUGAAUUUUUAUAAAUAAGUCAAAGUAAAGAUCUUAAGCAAUUUCUGCAUCCAAAUUUCAGUGCCUGAAUGUAUGAAUCUAAAACAUUCUAAUUAAAAUAACCUCAAAAUGAUCCACUGUAUUUAAUAGGUAGCUAGAGUAAUAUGAACAUUGUAUGAUUUAUGAAAACUUAAUUUUAAAAGAAAAAUGUUACUAAAAUGUAUUUAUAAACCAUAAGUCAUGAAACUUUAUCUUGUAUUGUUUUUUUUUUUGAGGCACAAGAAAAAAGUGCCCUGGAUAUAGCUUUUAAACUACUUUGCAUGCAUUAAUAGGACACAUUAAUAAGUAUCAGCUCUGCUUAUACAAAUUUAAAUUACAGGAAUAUUUUUUUUCUUUUUACAGCUGCACCUGAGGCAUAUGGAAGCUCCUGGGCUAGGAGUCGAACUGGAGCCGCAUCUAAGCCCCAGCCAUGGCAACACCAGAUCCUUAACCCACUGAGCUAGGCGAGGGGCCAAACCAGCAUCCUUACAGAGACAACGUCGGGUCCUUAACCUUCUGGGCCGCAACAGGAACUCCGGGAACAUUUUUUAAGGUGAUAUUUUAUGGUAAUGAUAUUUUUCUCAGUUUGUCAAUACUCGUUUUUCCUUUGAACACACUGAUGUUGCUCAUAUUAAGUGACAUUCUCCUUAUCAUAUCUAAGAUUCAGAGAACCCAAAAGGGGUGGGUGUUAAUGAGGAGUCACACCCAACAUGACAAACCCCCAGGCAUGGCAGAAUGAGGUACCAUUAAUGGCAACUAGAGGACCAGAGAGUACCUCAAGACUCAGGAAAAGUGUGUUAUGGACACAAGGUUAUGCCAAGGCUAUUUACUGAACUAAACACUGAAGUAUUUUGAAAAGACCAAUAUAGAGCCUGCCAAUCUAAGUCCAGUGUUUGUUUUGGUUUUACUCCAACAGGAGAAUAAUCUGGUUCUUUUUUUUUUUUUUUCUCCCAGAAAACACAGGGUUCAGGUGAAUGGCAGUAUGGGAGUCUAUAAAAACCAUCACUUUAUAAAUGACAGUCUGCCUGUCACCUGGCGAUCUGCCAAUUCUCCCAGCUAUUCACUGGAGCAAUACUCUGAGUCUGGCCUCUUGCCAGUGUCUGAAAAGGGCUCAAGCCAUGGGAGCUUCUCUGUGGCUCUCACUGCAGGUCUCCUUUCGUGGACCUUUUCCAGGAGGGUGGCAGUCACUUCAGCAGAAAGCCACCUCGCAACCCACGAAGUUUACCUCUUACUGGAGACUGUGUUAGCAGACGAAUGCCCCCACAUUCCAAAAUAUUUUAAGGAAAUUCAUCAUAAGCCUCUGGAUGAAAAGGCAACAGAAAAACUACAGUGCCUGGUAGGUCCUUACAGGGGGAUAAAUACCUCUGCCCUGAGGUAUUUCACAGAGUUGCACAUGCUCAUCUGCUAACUACGACUCAUUUCCUUUAUGAAAUUUUAAGCAAUCUGUUCUAAGAGAUGGUAUGGAAGAAGAUGAAAAUUCCUUUUUAAAAAAACAAUGUGUUAAAACCCAAACUCAAAAUCAGAGCAAAAAUACAUUGCUCUUCUCUGCUUGGAUUUUCUAGAAACAGCUUCAGGCAGCAGGGUGAAUUCCGGGGGCCGUUUUAGGGCAAGCCGGGGUGGGAUUAGAUGUUCCAGCCUGUACAGUUCUCCUAAGCCUGCCAUGAUCUGUAACUUAGCUCUUGGGCCUGGGCCAGAACCAGACCAACAUUCAAGGGUGAGCAAAGAAGGCAGCCGCCUUUGGGCAACUGCUGUGCAGAAUUCUCUGGAUAAUGCCUUUCACUCUGUUCUCCCCAACACUGGUCAAACACCCUCAAUCCAUCCUCUGCUUCCUUAGCGUCACUGUAGGUCUCUCCUGCUGAAGUUACAUACCUUUUUAAGAUUAUGAAAAUAAAUGCUAACCAUGCUAUUUUUGGGUCUCAGUUGAAAACAAUUAUCCUUUAGCAAUUUUCACAGUAUAAAUAAGGCUAAAGUUUGCUCUAUAACUUCAUUAAGAGAGUAUCUGUAAUGGGGGAAAAAGUACCAAAUUAUUUAAUGUAAAGAUUUAUAUAACAUCCCAACUAGGAAAAUGUCAUAUAAAUUUAUGUAUAUCAUAUAUGUAUCUUUCAUAAUUUGUUUUGUCAUCUUUCAUAAUAUAUGUAUGAGGAGUGUGAAUUUAAUUUUAGAUGCUUUAUUCAUUGAUAAUCCAUCUCAGAUUCUCUGUGAGCACUCAUGAUAAUGAAUGUAUUUGAUGUUCAGGUGGCUUCUCUGUGCUUUCAUUUUGCAGUUUUGCAGCUGAGUAAUCGAUAAUUCAAGGUACACAGAACAUUAAAAAAAAGUCUCAGUUAUUAUAAUGAAAGUACAAAUUGGUUUUUCCAGGCUUUUAAAAACUUUAAAGCCUUACUGGGUUGUAAGGAAAGUCUAUAUAAGUUUUUCCUUCUGAAUUAAGUUCUAGGCAGUACGAUAAAAUAGAGUCCCCAAGAGUUCUCCCAUGGCUCAGCAGGUUAAGGAUCCCAUGUUGUCACUGUAGUGGCUUGGGUCACUGCUGUGGCAUGGGUUUGAUCCCUGGCUGGGAACUUCUGCAUGGCGAGAGUGUAGCCUCCUCCCACCAAAAAAAAAAAAAAAAAAAAAAAAAAAAAAAAAAAAAAAAAAAAUUUCCCCAAAACAACAUUAUAUAACAUUAGAAAUGUUUGGAAUUCCCAUCGUGGCUCAGCAGGAAUGAAUCUGACUAGUAUCCAUGAGGAUACAGGUUUGAUCCCUGGCCUCACUCAGUGGGUUUAGGAUCUGGCGUUGCCCUAAGCUGUGGUGUAGGUUGCAGAUGUGAUCCUGUGUUGAUGUGGCUGUGGCACAGGCCAGCAGCUGUAGCUCGGAUUCUACCCCUACCCAGGGAACUUCCAUUUGCUGCAGAUGCUGCCCUAAAAAGCCAAAAAAAAAAAAAAAAGAAAAAGAAAAAGAAAGAAAAGAAAUGUUUAACAAAUAUCUUGUCUAUGUAUGGCUCAAAGUAGAAAAAAAGUAGACCAAUUUUAAUGAAUUAAUUGUAAUUAAGUCAAUCUAGAUAUGUCCAACUGUAAGGCGAUCCCCAAUUUUUUUUCAGACACAUUUUCAAAAAAAUGUCUCAAGUCUGGGAAAACUUAAUAUGUUAAAAUUUUGAGAUAUAAGUUAAAUGGUUAAAUGUCAGCAUAAUGUUGUUGCCUCACAAUAACACAAGAUGUGUUUUUUUUUUCCAUUUUCAUCCUUAGCAAAUAUUUAUAAUCACCACAAUGUAAUAAUCAUUGUAGCACAUUUUAAAGGACUGUUUUAAAUUUCUCUCUUUUAAAAAAAAAAUACAGUUUCUGGGAGUUCCCAUCGUAGAGCAGUGGUUAACGAAUCCGACUAGGAACCAUGAGGUUGAGGGUUCGAUCCCUGGCCUUGCUCAGUGGGUUAAGGAUCCUGCGUUGCCGUGAGCUGUGGUGUGGGUGGCAGAGGCAGCUUGGAUCCCGCGUUGCUGUGGCUCUGGCGUAGCCCAGCCGCUAUGGUUCUGAUUCGACCCCUAGCCUGAGAUCCUCCAUAUGCCUCAGGAGUGGCUCAAGAAAAGGCAAAAAGACAAAAAAAAAAAAAAAAAAAAAAAAAGACAAUUUCCGGAUUUUACAGAUUGAAUUUACAUCAAUCUAGAUCGGUAUGUUGUUGAUCAAAAUAAAUCUCUGAUCGGUAUGCUGUUGAUCAAAAUAAAUCUCUGAUCGGUAUGUUGUUGAUCAAUAUAAAGUAAGAGUGGUGACUCCAUCUUUUCUGAGAGAUAAAUGUGGAUUAACCACUGCCCCUGCCCCCCUCCAAGCAACCCUCACUUAUAAAUGUCUAUGUAUGUUUACACAACAGAACAUUCAAAAGCUAUGAGGUUAUAGUGAAGUAAGCCAAUCUUUCACACUUUUCCCUACUUUCCCCUCCUCUACUUAGGUACCAACAAUAUUUAUUAAAUGAGAAUAUAAUGAACAUUUUUAUACUAUCUUUGUUCUGCUUUUUAAUAUGUAUUAUUUUUACAAUCAGAAAAAAAUAACAAAGAAAUUCAUUCCCCCAUACAUUUGAAAAUUACAGCUAGAUUUGUCUUUUGUUUUUUGGAUAUAAUACUUGCUAAAAUUCCAUUGACAUUGUAGCUAAAGUGUCCACUCUUUAAAUUAGCCCAGGUCACUCUAGGGAUUAUUUUAGUGAUAUUAGCUCUAUAAACAGUUCCAGAGAUACCUUCAUUCUUCCACUGUGUAAUGGGGGACAUUCUUUGGAAUGAAAACAUACCAAACUUAACAGAGUUAUUGAAUUCUCUUCUGCUAUGAAAGUAAUGAAGCUACUGUGAAAACUGGCUGCAUGCUUUAAAAUUUUUGGAGAAGUGAAGCUGUAACCAAUUAAUUCAUUAACUUAUUAAAAUUCACUUGACCCCAAUGAACUCAAUAAGUUGUACACAUUUGUAGUUUGCUUCUGGAAGCCCUGUGGAUAGUGGCAACCUUGUCUAAUUGGGGCAGCAGCUGCCAGGACCAGCCCAAUCAGAACUGAUGAGGACUUUGUCCCAUGACUUUCAUGUGUGCCCAAGUGGCAUUCUGAACCCACUCAAACCUCUUAUUUCUCUCAAUCCCGCCUUCCUCUGCUGUUUGAAAUGUAAGGUGCUUGCUUAUUUAUCCAUAUUAUCAUCUGGUGUCAAUCCAUGUUGCUAUGUGCUAUCUUUCUAGUAACUCAUCCUUGGUUGAGAGUCCUCAGAAAUAUUUUCAUCAUACUCUAAAGAACCUCCCCCCUUAAUUUUACUAUUCAAGACAAAUACAUAGAUGAAAACCCAACUCUUUUAUAUCUUUAUCUUUCCAGAAUUGUUUCCGUUGAGUUCUCUGGGAAGCAGAUGCUAAAAUGGAGUUAGGAGUGCAAGAGGUUUAUUGGAGGGUAACACCUGUGAAAGAUAAAAAGGGGGCAGGAAAUAGGAUUGAAAAGGAAAGGCUCAGACCACAAUGCAUAGCUGACAAGGUCUCAGUCAAUCCAAUGGAGAGCUGGAGGACAAAGACCGAUGAUUAGAAGGGUUCUGCCAUACCCAGCUGGGGCUCUCCAGGAAAAGUACCAGCUCCUGCAGGUACUAACAGCUUGUGGACUGAACAUCCAUGUGGAUGAAAUUUCAUGAAGUUCAUGAAGAGAGUAGCAGCCCUAAUGCUGCCUCAUAGAUUGAAUUCUUCCACUGCCCCACCUCUGAAAUCUUAAACUCCAACAUGCUAGCCACUCACCCUAAUGCCCUAUCUUUCCACCGUUCACUCCCUCAUUCUCAUUAUAUCUGCUCUUUGCUUGCAUGUGAAACUUCUACUCCCUUAGUCUCUCACCCUUCUCUCAACCUUUCAGCCCUCUCUUGAUUUCGCUGUUUUCACCAGAUAGGCUAGACCCAGUUUUCCAUUACUUCAUCAUUUCUUCAGCUAAUAUCCUUAAAUUCCUUGCCCCUUUCCCUAAGUGCCCACAAUGCACCAUGUUUAUCCAUCUACCUUUUUUAUUCCUAUACUCAAACUGCUGGCUGCAGCUAAAGAAAGGCAUACAUUACCACAGAUGAAUGUCACAUAGUUUCCAAUCUUCACUGAAUCCUAAACACUAUACAGAAAGUCUAUAAUUAGGUACUUCCUUCUCGCAUGGCAUCUAAAGAAAAAUAUUAAUUUUUUUGUUUUGCAACAUGUUAAAGAGUACAAUGGGGAAAGUUCUUUAGAUUUGAAUUCUAGUUCUUAACUGCUUGUGCGGCUUUACUUAAUUUUUCUGGGUCUUUUUUCCCCUACUCUUUAAAAUAGAGCUAAUAUUAACUGUUGAUGACAUUGCUUUAAGAGUUACAUAAAAUAUUUAACAGGUUAUGAGAAUUCUCAAAUCAUUGACAGUGCAUGCUCUAAGGUUUUUUUGUUUGUUUGUUUUUUUGUCCCCCCGCCCCGCCACCCCGCACUAACUGUUGCCAACUGUAUUCAGUUGAAAACUCUCCUUUCCACUGAGUACAUCUCAAUCAGUUCCAUGCAGUUUGGGACAUUUAGAGUUAUUAAAAGACUUCUUUCUGCCAAUGCGGGUUAGAUAAAAGACUGUGCGUGUGUGUUUAGUGAAGGCAUGAUCUGCUUUUUUGAACAUCACGCUUCACUCCUGCCCACUUAUCCAUUUGGUGUUUGAAAAGGAAGGCAAGGGGGGUAGGACUUGUCUCUUUACACAUUGUCAAGGCUGCUGUCCCCUUUUAUUGUAAAUGAUCUUGAAUCUUUCCUAUAGGCUCAGUAUGAUCAGGUGGUGACCACAGUAAGUUCCAUUGACAAAGAUGUCAGUCCUUAGCAGUUCCAGUAAAUAAAUAGUACUGGUUCCUUGGAAGACUAAACUUUAUCUUUUGUCUGAAUCUCAUCCCUUCUAGCCUCAGCUACCACCCAAAGGAAUAUAGUGAUCUGUAUCUUACCUACUUGCUCAUUGGCCAUUGCAACCCAACUCUGGAGCCAAAGGUAUUGGUGGGAUUCAUUUUCUGUAUCUCCCAGGAAUCAGGGAUUUGAGAGGUCCUCACCCUCUGGGCCUGUCUACACCACUUAGCCACCUCUCCAUAAUCUUCCCUCUUCUAUUCUGAUAGCAUUGGGCAGAGAUAGGAAACCCAGUAGCUAAGCAGACAUCCACAUGGGGAGUUCAGGGAAAACAGCAUAGAAUGAAGGCUUCUAUGAACUUGGCCCCAAAGAAUUUGAUAAAUGUUGCUCAAAAUCGUAUCAUUUCACCAGAAUCCCUGGACUAAUGAAUGGCUCCAAAGGGUCAGGAAAAGAUAUUAGUGCUUUACACUCUUCUGUUAUACCAUUCUGAUACAAAGCAUCGUCUACAACCAAGAUGUACCAAUAAAUGUUAUUUUUUCCUGUUCAGGCAUAACAGCAUUCCAUUUCUAGACUGUACGCCUGCGUCACCAAUAUAGGUGCACAUAUGCACUGUUUUAAGUAUGCUACAAAUAUCAACUCAUUUAAUGCCCACAAAAAUCCUAUGACAUAGUUACUAUUAUAAUCCACAAAUUACAGAUGAGGAAAUUGAGGCAUAGACAGGUUAAGUAACCUAUAUGUUUUCUAUUCACCUUUGUAUAAUUGAAUGUAUCUGCUAGGAAUCCAAACAAGAUUUUCAAAUCCAUCAUCAAGUGAAAGAGUUUCUUAGUUUUCUUUUCUUUUCAUUUUUAUAAAUGAUUUGAGAUUACAACAACCCAUAAUAAAUUUGGUAACUUGUCAUUUUUGUGAUAUGAAAGAGGUAAUAUAUCACAGUCCUUGUUACACCUUUAAUACCUCAGAACUAUCUACUCCUUGGAGUUUUUCAGACUUAUCCUCAAAUCUGUUUCUAUAAAGUGGCAAUUGUUCUUUGGGAACUAUUUCAAUUUUUAUUUGUUGGUGUAAUUUUUCUGCACUUGUUUGUUUUGAUAUUUUAUAUUUUUGUAAACAUUAAUCUCCCUUGAGAUUCCCUAUAUUAAGCAUAAAAUGUUGUUUAAAUUUCAAAAUAUCAUUUUUUAUCCAUUGUUAUAUCACCCUUCGAUUCUCUGGUUGUUGUUUGCCCAAUAUGAUAAAUUUAUAUAAGAAAAAUAGAUGUAAGAUAGCUCAACUUAAUUAUUUCAGAGAUUCACAUCCAAAGAAUUUAAGAUACAUGAAUGCAACAUUUAUUUUUCAUUUUCAAAUAACGUCUUUUUUAACAUAAUAUUUCAAAUGAAGAGUUUGAUAUGGUUUGCUAUUAAAUAUGGUGUUUUUGGAACUAUUUUCCUCUUUUGUGUUCCAGUUUAUAUUUUUAAAAGUUUUCUCCCAAAACAAUAAGUACCUAUAUUUUACCUAAGCAAAUACACACAUGUGUGCAUACAGUCACAUUUUCUUUACUUACUUGUAUUAUCUCUGCUUAUAAGAAAAAUUACUAAAAUUCCAAAGUUCAAUAAUAAAUAUCUUAGUCUGUAAGAUUCUCCUUUUAGUCUUUAUAUUUGUUACAAUGAAACAAAAACAUGCUGGUUUACAAUAUCAGGCAUAGUAACUGUUAGGUAGUCCCCAGGCUCUCAAUCUUGUGCUAUGAUUAGUUUUAAUCAUUCUAAGAACCAUGGAUACUGGGUUUAUCAUGAUUGUGGAGGAAAAUAUCAAUUCCAUGUACAGCUGACCCUUGGACAACAUGGUUUAAACUGUGUGGGUCCACUUAUAUGCAAAUUUUUUUUCAAAAGUGAAUACCGUAUUAAUAUGUGAUCUCUGAUUGGUUGAAUCCUUGGAGGCCAAAUCACAGAUAUUGAGGGAUUGUAGAUAGGGGUGACUUUAUUUAUUUUGCUUUUGGGGGCCACACCUGUGGCAUAUGGAGGUUCCUAGGCUAGGGGUCAAAGUAGAGCUGCCGCUGUCGGUCUACACCACAGGCACAGCAAUGUGGGAUCUGAGCUACAUCUGCAGCCUACACCUCAGCUCACAGCAAUGCCAGAUCCUUAACCCACUGAGUUAAGCCAGGGAUCAAACCCACAUCCUCAUGGAUACUAAUCAGGUUCAUUACCACUGAGCCACAACAGCAACUCCAAUAGGGGUGACUUUAAGUUAUACUUGGAUACUCCUACUGUGCAGAUAACAUGCCCUCUAACCCCUGCAUUGUUCAAGGAUCAACUGUAUAUUCAGAAUUGGUAUGAUUUAAAAAAGUGGUUGGUUACAGUUUACUUCAUAUACAUAAUAUUCUUAGUAUUUUGAUUAUUUUAAUUGCAUUAGAUCUUUAUCCUCCCAAUUUUAAUUAGUAGGAACACAAACAUUUUUAUUUUUGGUGCCAAAUGCCAAAAUAGCAACAUGUUUUGCUUUUACUGUGUAAUAGAUAUUGAAAUAUCUCACAUAGCUUCAGCUUCACAUGUACUUUCUUUGGUGUUUGUAGUGGCAUGCCCCUUAAUUUGAUAAAAAGAUGUAGAAAACCUGAGUAAAUGGUUUUCUUUAAACACUGCUUAAAAUUGAGUGGAAGUUGGCAGCGUUUUGGAAUAAAAAUAAAUAUAUAUUAAAUUCGCAAAGGACUGAUAUAUAUCUGUAAUAGUUCAUACACUUUUUAGAACUGUAUUAAAAAGGUAUGGUAUUUAAUAAGUGCUAUACUUAUUAUGAGAGGAUGGUAACUAUAAAUCAUGAAAAAAGGAUAUUUUUAUAUAGUUCUAUAGCUUCUGACAAUUUGCGUUGUAAUUUACUUUUCUAGGUUUCCUUUUGACCUAUAGUAUUCAAGUGUAAGGUAAUGCACAUUUAAAUCACAAAAAGGAACCAAUUACAUUAUUUUUUCAUGUUUCUGUCAUUUUCUAUCCUUUGAAACAGUUGACCCUUGGCCAACUGCUCAUGAUUUGGAGAAAUAGUGGAACUCUAUGGGAGGAGGAGUAAAUGUAAAAUUUAUCUGCAAUCAGAUAAAUUACAAGACAGAUGUGAGGAAAAAAGGAAAAAAAAAAAAAAGAAAAGAAAAGCAACCCCCCCAAAA